rnacentral:rRNA from 1 species
CGUACACUCCUACGGGAGGCAGCAGUGGGGAAUAUUGGACAAUGGGCGCAAGCCUGAUCCAGCCAUGCCGCGUGACUGAUGAAGGCCCUAGGGUUGUAAAGCUCUUUCACCGGUGAAGAUAAUGACGGUAACCGGAGAAGAAGCCCCGGCUAACUUCGUGCCAGCAGCCGCGGUAAUACGAAGGGGGCUAGCGUUGUUCGGAUUUACUGGGCGUAAAGCGCACGUAGGCGGACUAUUAAGUCAGGGGUGAAAUCCCGGGGCUCAACCCCGGAACUGCCUUUGAUACUGGUAGUCUUGAGUUCGAGAGAGGUGAGUGGAAUUCCGAGUGUAGAGGUGAAAUUCGUAGAUAUUCGGAGGAACACCAGUGGCGAAGGCGGCUCACUGGCUCGAUACUGACGCUGAGGUGCGAAAGCGUGGGGAGCAAACAGGAUUAGAAACCCGGGUAGUCCCAUGA